rnacentral:lncRNA from 1 species
CAAACCUUUUUAUUUUUCCCUCAAAACUUUUACUCCUUCCCACUUCCCCCGAAAACUUUUACUCCCCUCCCCUCCCAACCCCCCAAUCUACCCAAAAUCCAUUUUCCACCAAAAUUUUACUCUCCCAUUUACUUUUUCUCAAAAUUUUACUCCCAAAAACCCUCAAAACCUUUUAUUUUCCCCCAAAAUUUUUACUCCCUCCCACUUUUCCCCUAAAACUUUUAUUCUCUUCCCAUCCCACCUCUCAUCUACCCCAAACCCUCGCCCCUCCAAAAUUUUUUUAAUAUUUUCCCUCCAAUUUUUUACUCCCCCUAUUUACUUCCCCUCAAAC